AUUGAACGCUGGCGGCAGGCCUAACACAUGCAAGUCGAACGAGUGGCGGACGGGUGAGUAAUGUCUGGGAAACUGCCUGAUGGAGGGGGAUAACUACUGGAAACGGUAGCUAAUACCGCAUACCAUCGAAUGUGCUCAGAUGGGAUUAGCUUGUUGGUGGGGUAACGGCGCACCAAUGCGACGAUCCCUAGCUGGUCUGCGAGGAUGACCAGCCACACUGGAACUGAGACACGGUCCAGACUCCUACGUGAGGAAGCAGUGGGGAAUAUUGCACAAUGGGCGCAAGCCUGAUGCAGCCAUGCCGCGUGUAUGAAGAAGGCCUUCGGGUUGUAAAGUACUUUCAGCGGGGAGGCGUUACCCGCAGAAGAAGCACCGGCUAACUCCGUGCCAGCAGCCGCGGUAAUAC
rnacentral:rRNA from 1 species